ACCAGACUCCUACGGGAGGCAGCAGUGAGGAAUAUUGGUCAAUGGGCGAGAGCCUGAACCAGCCAAGUCGCGUGAGGGAAGACGGUCCUAUGGAUUGUAAACCUCUUUUGCCGGGGAGCAACGGGGUCCUUGCGAGGGCCCGAUGAGAGUACCCGGAGAAAAAGCAUCGGCUAACUCCGUACCAGCAGCCGCGGUAAUACGGAGGAUGCGAGCGUUAUCCGGAUUUAUUGGGUUUAAAGGGUGCGUAGGCGGGCUGUUAAGUCAGCGGUCAAAUUGCGGGGCUCAACCCCGUACUGCCGUUGAAACUGCAUCCCUUGAGUGCGCGAGAAGUAUGCGGAAUGCGUGGUGUAGCGGUGAAAUGCAUAGAUAUCACGCAGAACUCCGAUUGCGAAGGCAGUAUACCGGCGCCCAACUGACGCUGAAGCACGAAAGCGUGGGUAUCGAACAGGAUUAGAUACCCCAGUAA
rnacentral:rRNA from 1 species